CUGCAGGGUUGAGCCCCUGGAAGGUGCGGGGGCAGACCCCGUUGCUGUACCUGUGGCUAAUCAGAAGAGGGCUGAAGUGGAGUAUUUAGACGGCGGCUGGCAAACACUCCGGUGCCUGAGUGUUAACCUUGAAUGGUAACUAUCUCUGAGCUAGGCCCUCUGAGUUAAAGUCUGAAGUAACCUUCGUCGUGUUUUUCCCUCGUCAGGUCGUACCUGUAGGACGCCGAACCUCAGAACGGUCUCCGAUUCGACCAGCCUCCCGAGGAACCUUUCCUCUCUCUGACGCCUCAGGUCUUACCUGCUGAAAGCCAGAUCCUUGUCCCUGGAUAAAUCCGAGUUCUCAGUUUGCCAGCCGUCCGCUACAGCCUUUCUUACCUGUCCGCCCUCCCACGUGCAUCGCUCGCCGGAUUAGCGAGCUCUGGAUCUCCGACCUCCAGCAAGACCAGGCAACAUCCUAAACCCAGCUCACUUGCUACUCUUUUCCCAAUUGACGACCCGGCAGUCCCAACCCUGUUUCCAGAACUCCCUCUCCACUCUUUAUUUAAUAAACCUUAUUAUUGUGAUUUAC